AUAUGCAACGCAGGGAACAGGAGAACUUUCUAGAGCGGGGGUGUCUCGAGGAAUGGGACUUUUCCCUGCUGGGAAGGGAGCGUGAGCCAGCAGAAACGGACUACAUACGGGACCCGAAGUAACGGCUGAAAAAGACAGUUGGUGCGAGCGGCAGUGCUGAGGGAGAGCACAGCAGCAGCAGCAGAUGAGGCGGAUAGAGAAAGAGGGAUAUGUGGAGACACUACCGGCGGUGGUGGUAUUGAAGGAGUAGAGAACGGCAGCGGCAGCAGCGGUACAGUGAGGUCAGGUAUCUGACAGGUACCCGUAGCAACGCACCUGCAGAGGAGGUCGGUGAGGUGAUUGUGCUCAGUGCCCGUGUCCCUGAACUACACGUCAGAUAAGUCAAGACUAGUGUGGAUGAAGAGAGUCGGGGGAGUACUUACAUAUACACAGUGACUGACACUAAAGAGAGAGGCGGAGAAGAGGGGAGGAUCAAAGGAUAAAGUACAUCAAUAGGGGACCAGAUUAUAGUUAAUACCUGGUAGCCCAAUUCAUAGCCCUCUAUGCACGGGGACAGGCUGCUAACGGUGAUAGCAGUGGAGAAGUAGUUUUGCCUCGUAUUUGGAUAUGGCACUCUGAACAUUUACAUAUUGAAUGUGAUACCAUUAACACAGGGAGACUGAGCGGUAUACACAAAUGCAUUACUGGAAGUCAUAUCAGGAGGAAGAGGACUAAGUCAUUUAUGAGCUGCAGCCUAAAUAUACAGAUGUUAAUAAGUUAUUGACUACUCAGAGUAGAAAGAGAGCACUACUCCCUCUCGACUGUUCACAGGUCAAUAGGAAAGGGAGUAUGAUGGACAUUAAUGAUCAGCGUCAGUGAAACCAACCCCCAGGUUACAAGGAUCUCCUCCCCCCCUGCCAGAAAUUGUAUGGAUGGACGAGGGGUGUGCCACUUUAGCAAAACCACUCUCCGAGCCGCGAGAGGUAGAAACACAAUGCACCUAUAUUGAUACCCCCUUCUAGCGAGUAGACACCACUAUACCACUGACCCACCAAGUAGUCAUUUGACUAAGACAAUUUGAACUAUAUGACCUUGGAAGCCCAGUGGUGAAGUACUCCCUGAAAGAGUGUCCUUCAUUGGCCUUAGCGACAAAGUAAUCACUUACAUCAUCAGUCUGCUGACUACAAGAGGUGAUCGUUUUGCUUACUAGUGUACCGCUGAGGAAAUAUCACAGCUAUACUACUGGAGAUAGUUAAGUUGAGCAGAAGACUGAUGGAUAAUACGAAUAAACCAAGACUACCAGCUUCGAAAACCACCAGUGAAUCUGUAGUAGAGACCGUAACCUGAUCACUUGGACAAAGAACUGAGAGAUCCAGAUCAGUAUAUCUCCGAAACCACCAGCUAAUUUGUAGUGGAGACCGUAACCUGACGACUUGGCUGAAGAACUGAGAGAUCAGGUCAGUGAAUUACCUCCACAACUCUCAGUGCACAUGGCAGGAUAUCACAUUUGGCAUCACAAAGAACAGGAUUCGGAGCCUAAAAGUAAAAGAAGUACACAGCCAAGAAGAUGUCCACAGAACAAGCAGCCCCAGUGGCGGGGCCAUCAGGCGACGGGAAAACAACAAGCACCUGCCCCAAUGGCACAGAUCAACCCAAUCACUAUGCCCUACCACAUCGGGACCACACAGCAGGAUAUCACAACUGCCUCUCAGCAGGUAAGUAUCCCAUGUACAGAGGCAGAGGGGAUAAACAGUCUAUGUCCCAGGAGGGGGCAUGUAUAGUCUAUGUCCCAGGGAUGGAUAGUUGCACACCCUUUCCUAUGAGCCUACGCAUGCCUGUGGUCAUAGCAACAGUGCUGCAACUGUAGUGUGUUCUCUGUACCCCCUGAUCCAUUAAUGUGACCUCCAUUGCCAAUCCUGCUCAUCAAUGAGUCUAACUCAAGGGUGGGCUGAAAUGAAAGCAACACAAUACUUUCAUCUCCAUGCUGAUUGUCCUAUGCACAGCAUAGUAACACACCUCUUUCCUCCUCUAUAGCAACACAUCU